AAAUACAAAAACUGUAAAAACAAAAGACAAAUUGGACGGAAAAAUAAAUAGGCCACGGGUCAAAUAGCGUCAGAGUGCACCCCUCCCUCCGAAGGAAAACAACUUUUUUUGCAUGCUCUGGCCAUGCUGAAUGUGAAUUUGAACGUUAACAGUGAAAAUGAUGGGAUGCACCACCUGUUUCAUCCAUGCCCAUCCCAACUUCUUCCAUCCCAUGGGCUAUCCAUAGUGUUCUAAUGUAUUUACACGGAAUUAAAUGAAAACAAUGGAUUUCAGUGGGCAUGGCUGAAACUAACCAAAAGUAUUUGAUGCAACGUAAACAUAAUUUCUAGGAAUUAAAUUCUGUCUUGCUACUAUUUUUUACUAACAGAAAAGGAGUCUACACUUAAGACUACUGAGCAGAAAGUCUUGCAAGAGGACCAACCAAAAAGCAAGAAGAGAAAGAGGUUACCCAACAAACUCUUCCCUGACACCCAGGAAGAAACUGUAGUUGCAAAAAAGAAAAACUACAAACUCAUAGCUGCAAGACAGUCUGAAUUAGAGGUUCUCUCCCAAGAAGAACCUAACCUCAGCCCAGUGGAGACUGCUUCAGAGGCACUUGAGGAGGAGAUUAAAAGACUGCGGGACCAGCAGAGUGUUGGAUCUUCCGCAGCCAGUAAAGAACUUGAGACCCAAGUCAAGGCUUUAAAUGGGUUACCUAGCAUCUAAGGUACCCUGAAUACCUGGACAUGCGUCCAUUUAUGUUUUGGUCCCACGGAGAACCCAAGAUCUAACCAUCUGUAUACCGUGCUGGUUCACUUGGGAUUCAGCUGUCACACUGGACAUUACUACUGCUACAUCAAGGUUCGUCUUGUGGGCUCCUUUCAUUCCAUUGCCUUGAGAUGCUUUAGUACGAACUCAGCAUAUGGUUGAAACAAAUAUGCUGGUUUGUUCCAGGCCAGGAGUGUCCAGUGGUAUUUGAUGACUGAC